rnacentral:rRNA from 1 species
UGGGGAAUAUUGGACAAUGGGCGCAAGCCUGAUCCAGCCAUGCCGCGUGGGUGAAGAAGGCCUUCGGGUUGUAAAGCCCUUUUGUUGGGAAAGAAAUCCUGUCGGCUAAUACCCGGCGGGGAUGACGGUACCCAAAGAAUAAGCACCGGCUAACUUCGUGCCAGCAGCCGCGGUAAUACGAAGGGUGCAAGCGUUACUCGGAAUUACUGGGCGUAAAGCGUGCGUAGGUGGUUGUUUAAGUCUGAUGUGAAAGCCCUGGGCUCAACCUGGGAAUGGCAUUGGAAACUGGGCAGCUAGAGUGCGGUAGAGGGUAGUGGAAUUCCCGGUGUAGCAGUGAAAUGCGUAGAGAUCGGGAGGAACAUCUGUGGCGAAGGCGACUGCCUGGACCAGCACUGACACUGAGGCACGAAAGCGUGG